ACUCCUACGGGAGGCAGCAGUGGGGAAUAUUGCACAAUGGGCGGAAGCCUGAUGCAGCGACGCCGCGUGAGGGAUGACGGCCUUCGGGUUGUAAACCUCUUUCAGCAGGGACGAAGCGUGAGUGACGGUACCUGCAGAAGAAGCGCCGGCCAACUACGUGCCAGCAGCCGCGGUAAGACGUAGGGCGCGAGCGUUGUCCGGAUUUAUUGGGCGUAAAGAGCUCGUAGGCGGCUUGUCGCGUCGACUGUGAAAACCCGCGGCUCAACCGCGGGCCUGCAGCCGAUACGGGCAGGCUGGAGUUCGGUAGGGGAGACUGGAAUUCCUGGUGUAGCGGUGAAAUGCGCAGAUAUCAGGAGGAACACCGAUGGCGAAGGCAGGUCUCUGGGCCGAUACUGACGCUGAGGAGCGAAAGCGUGGGGAGCGAACAGGAUUAGAUACCCUGGUAG
rnacentral:rRNA from 1 species